UACGGAGGGAGCUAGCGUUGUUCGGAAUUACUGGGCGUAAAGCGCACGUAGGCGGCUUUGUAAGUUAGAGGUGAAAGCCCGGAGCUCAACUCCGGAACUGCCUUUAAGACUGCAUCGCUUGAAUCCAGGAGAGGUGAGUGGAAUUCCGAGUGUAGAGGUGAAAUUCGUAGAUAUUCGGAAGAACACCAGUGGCGAAGGCGACUCGCUGGACAAGUAUUGACGCUGAGGUGCGAAAGCGUGGGGAGCAAACAGG
rnacentral:rRNA from 1 species